ensembl:rRNA 5S_rRNA 5S ribosomal RNA
GUCACCAGCCAUAUCACCCUGUAGCCCAAGAAUGGUUGCCCACUGAAGCUAAGCAGGGUUGAGCCUGGUCAGUACCUGGAUGGUAGACCUCCUGGGAAAACUAUGUUGCUGCUGUAA